GGCCGGGCCCGCAGUCGGGGCCUCGGGGAGCGCAGCGCUUCGCUCAGUGUCCGCCAUGGCCCGCACGCCUCUCCUCCUCCUCCAUCUCCUCCUGGCGCUCUGCACAGGUUUCGUGAGGUCUGCGCCCACUCAACAGCCCUCGGCCUCUGUGGCCCUGGGCCAGACGGCCACACUCACCUGCUCCGGGGUUAGCGGUAGCUAUGCAGCCUGGUACCAGCAGAAACCCGGACGGGCCCCUGUACUGGUUAUAUACCAGAAUGACAAGCGACCCUCCGGGAUCCCCGACCGGUUCUCCGGCUCCAAGUCCGGGAGCACGGCCACGCUGACCAUCGCCAAGGCCCAGGCCGAGGAUGAGGCCGAUUAUUACUGUCAGGAUGCUAACUAUUAUGCUCACACUGAUACAGGGUGAUGGGGAAGUGAGACAAAAACCUCGAUCCCCAUGGGUCAGUCCUGGCCUGCCCCUUCCUGCCAGAUGAUGCCCUGUACCCGGAGAGGGAGGGGCACUCUGCACUCCAGCUUCCCGACCUACUCCUGUGCCCUUCACCCUCCAUCACUCCUUCAUCGCCUCCAAAACGGUCUCUGUCUAAGUCCCGUUGGGCCCCACCUCCUUCCUCCAACCGUCCUGUUCCCCACAGCACCAGGGGAUCCACAGCCGCUCAGGGCUCUGGGGCCUCCAUUCCCGUCGAGGCCCCUCUGAGGAAGGAGUUGCCGCCAUCGUUAUCGUACUCAUCGCCACCGCCAUCGGAUUCGUCGCCUCAUCAUCAUUUUCCUCCUCUCCACCAUCAGCCUCCUUCACAUAUUGUGUACAAGGUAGCCUACUGGGCAUUUCAGGAUCCCACUGCACUAGAAAAGAUUUACCGAGCACUUACUGUGGGUAGAACUGUCUUCAGCACUUGAGAGAGUACGAUCCACCCCACUCUCAAACCCUCAGCACUUAUGUACAUUUCUUCAAAUUAGAUAUGAUAAAUUACGAAAUUGUUUACGUGAA